AGGGCAAAGGUGUAAAUGAAAUGAAAAAGGCAUCUGAAAUGCCUGGAGGUGCCAGUCUGCCGAGAGAGGAGUCCACAGUCUUCUCCAACUCUCCAGUUAAUUGUGUUAAAGCUGAUUUCCCGAGCCGUGCUGAAAGUCUUCAGAGUUCUUUACAAGCCCUGGGGAAACGGAAAAGACACCUGUCCCCGCGAUGCUAGUCCUGCAGGUGAGCUUCACCUUUCAAGUCCUGAGCAUUACUCUUUUCUGUAAGAGGAAUGCAUAAGAAUAGUGAAAGGAAGCACGUGUUUGUUUAAGGAACUAGAGAUGCUGAGCUGGAUUUGCAGUAUUUAUACUACUUUUCUACAAUUGUAACAGUAGUGAUUGUAACAUGAUUUACACUGCCAGGAGAGAAAGAAUCAGACCUUCUUUUACAGUGAAUCGUAAACAAAUGAAUAAAUAAACUAGACAGUA